UACGUAGGGUGCGAGCGUUGUCCGGAAUCAUUGGGCGUAAAGAGCGUGUAGGCGGCUUGUUAAGUCUUGCGUGAAAUCUCGGGGCUCAACCCCGAGCGGUCGUGAGAAACUGGCAGGCUAGAGUGCGGGAGAGGAGAGUGGAAUUCCUGGUGUAGCGGUGAAAUGCGCAGACAUCAGGAAGAACACCCGUGGCGAAGGCGGCUCUCUGGAACGCAACUGACGCUGAGACGCGAAAGCGUGGGGAGCAAACAGG
rnacentral:rRNA from 1 species